GAAACCCAGUUGUCCUAAUCAUAUUAUCAUGUCUUCGUUCUUUGCUCCCUCACGACUGAUGAUGAGGAAUGGGGCUUCAUUUGCAUUGUGAUUAUAUUCAACAUGCUUAGGUACUUUAGAACAACGUUUGAGAAUGAAGUUGAGCUCGUUUUGGAUUCUGUUUGCAAAAUAUACUAGAAUUUUCAGGCAACUGUUAAUUGCAUUUUCGAGUGUCGAUCCAAAAGAUGGAUGAAAUUGGAAUCUUGCAAAAAUUCUGAGCUUCUCUUGUGUAUUAUUGUUCAGCGAUUUACACUUCUACGGUUACCCUUUCGAUUUUCUAUUCUUGUUUUUAUUGAAUUUUCCAUGUGUGUUCGAUUUUUUUGCUGGUGUUUAACGUUAACAAAUUUUAACUCGAAUUCUUUCGAUUUUCUUUGUUUUUUGUUCAAAAAUCCCAUGUGUGCUCGAUUUUGUCGUUGCGUUUAAGGUUAAGCAAAUUUGUUUGAGAUAUUUUGUUUUUCUUCAUUUUUUGUCUUCUCGUCUAUAUGUUUGUUCUAUUUCUUCUACUUUUAUUUCUAUUUGCUUGAUUACAUUUUUGCGUUUAGGUUUUACCAAUUUCGAGUGACAUUUUUUGUUACAUUCAGUUCUGGCCUCUUAUUUCUUGUGUGUUCUGCUUUGGUUACUUUUAAUUGGGCUCUAUUGUAGCUAAUUUUUUUACAAGGUCAGCAAAAAUUAGAAAUAGGAAACGACGUUGGUUUCUUUUUUGUAGUUUAAUAUGGUCUUUUCCUUGAUCUAUCUUCAUAACUAAAACUAUGUAUAUGAAGGUUUGCAUAUGCCUUCUUGCUAUUUGUAGUGGAAGUUUGCUGUCUUUCUCUGUAUUUUACUGAUCUUAACAUUCAUGGAGGCUUCAAUGUAGGGCUUUUUUGUUUACCAUUAUUUUGAGCUUUGAUGUGUGUCUAGGAUUUUACUUUGCCUAUAUUGUAUAUCAGGACUUUAAUAUCCAUUUGGGCCUGUCGAAUCUUACUUGCAUUCAUUUGUUUGGCUUGAAGUUUCACUAUUGAACAUCACUUAGAACUUUCUCGCUUACAAUUUAAAGUGGAAGCUGGUAAUUUGGUUGAUAGUAUGUGGCUUAACAUAUCUUGAUAGUCUUUGUCAAGCUAUAGAAAUUUGAAACUGGGUUAAGUAGAAAUUAUUGGAUAGUCUGAUAAAUCGAUGAAAUUUUAUUAGAGCAAUUUCAUUUUUCCAUUUAGGGUACUAAUAUGAUAUAAGUUCUUUAUUUAGAACUUCUGUAAGGCCUUUAUACACUUCUCUUUUGUUGUACGAAAUGAUGAUACUAAAAAUAAUGGAGAUUUUUUUGAAGUUCACUUUAUCAUUUAAAAUGUUAUUAUUAUAUUUUGUAUUUUCCUUUAUCGUUUUGCCAAGUAACCCUUCAUAAUAGAAAAAUUUUCAUUCUUCCUCUACCCUUACGCACGUUCAACACUUUUCUCAGUUUACCAUUUAACUAUUUUGCAGUUUAGGUAUUCCAAAGAAGAAGGGAUUCCCGUGGGAGAAUUUCAAAAUCGGAAUUUCACAUAACUUCUGAGGUGAUUGUCUUUCAUUUUAUAUACUCUUUUCGUCAAAUUUGUUACAAAGUUAUGUCUUUUACAGUUAGACUAUUUAUAUUGGAUAUAAACAUAUUUCCUUUGCAUCUCAUCUCUGGAGUGUCUAUUUUUUUUCUUUGUUUCUGUGUUUAUAAUUUUGUGUUUGAGUUAUUCUGAAAUGAAGAAGCCAAAAAAUCAAACACAUAUAAUGUAUUUGUGACCUUAAGUAUGUUGAUUUCAUAUUAUAUUUACUGCUAAUUACUUUGUCAUGUCGGUUCGAUUUGCAUUUCUCUUUGUUCAGAUUUGGUUUAUUUUUUCGACUUAAUAUCAACCCGUCUGAUGAAUUAUUAUCAGUCAUUUGUCAAAAUCAAUUUCCUUCACUCUGUUAAGAAUAAUUAAAUUGAGUAAAAUAAACUAGUUAGCCAAUGAGGUUUAAAAGUUUGUAUCAAGGAAAAUAUUCUCAAAUCUUUUUUGUGAAACUUAUAGAAAUAUACCUCCAUUCGUGUUGUCUACUCCAUUAAGGAAGUAGCUUGGAAUUACAAAAUGGUAAAAAGAAAAAGAAAUUAUGUUUUUAUGAUCAAAGUGCUAUGAUUGCUUUGUAGGUGCGUCUAUUUUAUACUAUUGAAUCUAUAACUUAUGAAAAGAUUUAGGUCAUUACAUGAACAUAUCUAUGGUGGGAUGUUGAAUUCAUCAAAGAUAUUUUCGAGAAGUAUUGAUCUAUAGUUGAUUUAACUAUUCUUGUUUAAAGAUCAUAAGGCAUUUGAGAGCAUAAGGGUUAAGUAAUACAUUUAGGUGCCUACCAAAUUCUAUUGGAUGACUAUUUUUCAUAUGGAGGUUAGAUUGUGCAUAUGAAUAUGCAAUUAUCAUCUUAAUAUUUUAUGGGUCCAUGUUUUACCCUUCAAAAGGAAAAUAUUGUUGUAUUUUUUCUGAGGAAUUGAUGAAUUUUUUAUUUAUUUAUUUUUUUGUUUUAUAUGAUUGAAACAUCUAGGAUCCUGAAACAAAAAAAAAGCCUCGAGUGAAGAUUUACGUUGACAAAGAAAUUGGAAGGAAAAAGGGAGAUGCACUUGUAACAUAUCUGAAGGUAAUGCUUUUUGCUCAAAGUGCUUGGAGUAACAUGUAUCGUUGGAAUGUUUUCAUCUUUGAUUGUUUUGUCUUCAAUGAUGUUAUUGUGGAUUGAGGUCAUUGUUGUUGUGUUAUUAUUGUUGUUAUUAUUAAUAUUAUUGUUAUUUUACUAGGCAUUAGGAACCUUCAGUGGACCUGUCCAUCCAAAUAACGGAUGGAGCUCCUCUAAGGCCUGGUGGCUAGAUCCCAAUGUCAGUUACAAAAGCUAAGUUUGCGCAAAAAGGUAACGUGUGGAAUGCAUUGUUCAUUUUCUGCAUUUGUUUCUGGAUAUUAAUUCCAUUGCCUAUGUUCAUUUCGUUGUACGAAUUGAAUAUUUUAAAAUUUAACUUCUCUUUUGGUGUUAAUUAACCUCCAGGGGAUAAAUUCAUGUAAAACAAGUGGACAAGAAUAAGAAGAAACUUUAGAAGAUUGAAAGGAAAAUGUUACGUUGGGUGAGUCCUUUUCUCACAAAAGAUUAAAUUUUUAUUAUGUAGGGUUUGAUCCCCAAUAUGAAAAUAUAGGUAUGUUGAUUUGAGUUUUAAGUGUUCAUUCUAUUUUUGAUUUCAUUAAUACAAUUUUCUAAAAGGUCAAGUUAAAUUGGAUUCUUUUUUGUUUUAUUUUUUGUCCAUACAUUGUAAAAAAAGGUGAAACAAAACCCUUGGUAAAUUCAAUCGACGAUUAUAGCUGUGUCUUCAUCCUAUUGCGAUUUUGCGGCGGCUUUUUGUAUAUGUUGCUGUGAUUUGCUCAUUUGCAGUAGCCUUUGUACAUCUUGCUGCAAAUUCUGAUGGUUAUAUCUUUAAAUUGUGAAGUAUGUCUAUUUAGAAUUUUCCUCCAGUCUAUAAUUUUUUUUCAAAAAAUUUUAGUACAAAUAAAUUCAGAAGGCUGAGAUAUAAUCCUAAAACCUUCAUUCUUGAGUAUCUUUCUUCCACUAUCUUCAACCUUAUUGCUUUUCUAUUUGAUUUAUUUAGUGGGAAUUUUGAGAGAUCCUUUUUGUUUUCUUUCAACCUUAUUGCUUCGUUUCAGACGCUUCUCAAGUAUUGUCAAGCAGAAAUUUUGACGAUUGGGAUUACUGUUCCUGGGUCAAGUUUCUUGCGAUUUAGGUUCUCGGGUGGUGGAAUUUAAUAUUGUUGGUGAGGUCAUUCUUCUUCUUCUACUAGAAUUUAUAGAUUUCUAUUCUAUGGGUUUCAAAUUAGAAGGUUUUUUUUGUUUGGGUAAAAAUGAGGGUGUUUUGGUGACAGAUUUUUAAGAUUAUUCCUAUUCAUGUUAGCAUUCGUAUAAGUCACCGUUUGUUUCCGGUACAAAGUUUAUGGCCCUGCAGAAAUAAAAGGUAGCGAUAUUGAUUGGAUGGAGUUAACUUUGCAAUAAAAAAAUCCAAGCAAAUAGAAUUUGGCCAAUUUGGAAAACCAGCAUCCAUUUAAUCAUCACUUACGUAAAAAAAGUUCGGCACUUAAUAAAACAUUUUACAAUAAUUUUUGCUCUAAAAGAUGUAUCAAAUAAAUGAUUUUAUAUGUAACAAGCUACCAAGAAAUGUCACUGUAAACAUAAACAUAGAUUAAUUGUAAAGAUUUCAUCAACUUAGUUGAAUGAGCAUGUAUUGAGAAGACAGGAGAAGACAGAAGAAGAAAUCUAGGAAAUAGAUGUCAUGAUCCUUAUGCAAGCAUGCUUGUAUUCAAGCUAGAAAAAGCCAUCGAAUAUAUUAAAAAAAAAACAAAAACUUAGGGCUUGUUUGAGCCCCAUUGUUUUCAAAAAUGCAUUUUGAAAUAGUAUUAUGAUAGAAAGUGUGUGGUUAAAAAAUAAGAAAAAGAUUUAGAUUUUCAUGUAAUAUUAUUAAAAAAUAUGUGGUUGAUAUAGAGUCAAAUAACUAUUGAAGAAUGUAUUUUGAUAGAAAAAUGGGGAUUAAACACAAGCUUACUUUAUUAUUUUAAAAUAAGCAUGCAGGAUACAAAUGCGCAUUAUGUUGAUAGACGGCAUGUUCAAUAGGAUUUUGAACUCAAUCCUAUACCAGGAAACUAAGAAUUUGUAAUGUGCUACAGAUUGCGGAAUUUUAGGAUAAUGAAAGAUGGAUUGAUAAAUUGUUUUCGCUGGCUAUAUGUUGGCUAGAUUUCCUUUUACACGCAUAUAAAGUGUCACCUCCAAAUCCACAUAUGCAGAAUCCUCCCUACUUAAUCUGUGCAUAUACACUUUGUUACUUAGACUUGGCCGGAAGUGUCGGAUAAAAUCAAUUGUUGAACAUGGGUACUCUUUUUCUUCUUUGGGUUUUCAAAAUCAUUCUGUAAAUUAUUCAUGAUCUCUCUUUCUUAGUUUCAAGCUAGCUUGAUGAUGAUGAAUGAAAGUACCCGAUGAUUGGAAGUCGGUAAGAAAUUCCUCUUUCAUACCUUCAAAUAGGCAUGUUUUUAUUUGGAUACAUUGAUAUAUUUUCAUAUAGACAAACACAUAAAGCACAAAGGGAAUAUAAAGAACAAAGAGAAAUUCUACCCACAACUAAAGGAAACUUUUGCACAAACAUCUAGAUACAUGAACGAUAUGGUUCUCUGACAUUUGUGUACGUUGGCAUAAAUAUGAAUGUCAUCAAGGCAAUUACUCAAAUAUUUAUGUGCUAAUUAUCAUUAGUGCAUUUGUUCAUAUUCUGUUAAUAUUUGAUUGCACUGGCAUUGAGGAUUUGUUUCUCAAUUAAGUUAAUCAGAAUGAGGAUAUAUAAUACCUUGUUCUUAAUCAUGAUGCCGCCUAAAUUUUUAACCGGAAAUGGUGAGAGUUAGUGUCUUCAAUAACGCUCUUAAGAGCAUGUACAAUGCAGAGAAGCUAGGGAAGUGUCAGGUCAUGAUUCAACCAUCCUCCAAAGUCAUUAUUAAGUUUCUCUUCAUGAUGCAAAAGCAUGGUAUACAAAACAUUGUGUGGUGUUAAUUUGUUGUCUAUUUACGCAUGCAAUAUUCUAUCUAUACACUUAAUUCUUUAUCAUGUCUGUAGGAUACAUUGGAGAGUUUAAGUACAUCAAUGAUCACUGAUCUGGUAAAAUUGUGGUUGAACAAAUGUAGAGUCAUCAGCCCUGACUUUGACGUUGCUAUCCAGGAAAUUGAGGAAUGGAAUGCAAGGUUGCUUCCCUUCUGGCAGGUAAUAUAUAAAAAAACAUUGUACAUUAACAUUUGGAUGAUGAUCACUUGGUGAAUAUUGAGCUAUCAACCUGGCCAUAUGAUAAUAUAUAUGUUUUGCACAUGCACCUUUUAUUUCAUGGAAUAGUAUUAUCAAGGAGACUCUAUCUCUUAUUCAAACUUUUAUUAAGGUAUCUUCAAUUAGCAUGUCAAUCGGAUAUCUCCAUUCUUAAAUAGCUUCACAUCUUCCUAUCGUAAAAUGUGAUUAUUAUGUUUGGUUGUACCCUCAUUUCAUUCGUCUUU
rnacentral:lncRNA from 1 species